rnacentral:lncRNA from 1 species
UCUACGUGCUCGAUCUCAACAGCUCCGCUGCAUCGGCGGAAGUACUCGACACUCCCGACACAGUGCACUACGGCGACAAGGGCAGCUCCGAAGGUCGCAGCGUACUCAUCCUUUCUGUUUUGGUCGCCCUACUGACGGUGCUUGCAGCCGGCUUCGCCUUGGGAGUCAUCUUCCGGGAGAAUGCUCCACUGCCAGUGCUCGAGCCGAUAACCGACUUCGGCUACAAGAGGGCACCGAUCAGCAGGCACGAGCUCUCCAAGCCCCUUGCAAGGCACAAACCAUCUACGGAUGCGACCGACGUCGGUGGGCGACUGAAAAGCGAGCCCCAGUUCUCGCUAUCCUCAAGAUCUCCCGUCGCCGAGCACCCGAGGCCACAACGUUAGCCGUUCAAACAGACGUCGCCAUUACAAGUCCGUCGCCCAGCGCUGAUGGUUCACGUCGCGCACAUCAC